rnacentral:rRNA from 1 species
CUCGUGAACUCAUCUUCGGGGGUAGAGCACUGUUUCGGCUAGGGGGCCAUCCCGGCUUACCAACCCGAUGCAAACUACGAAUACCGAAGAAUGUUAUCACGGGAGACACACGGCGGGUGCUAACGUCCGUCGUGAAGAGGGAAACAACCCAGACCGCCAGCUAAGGUCCCAAAGUCAUGGUUAAGUGGGAAACGAUGUGGGAAGGCACAGACAGCCAGGAUGUUGGCUUAGAAGCAGCCAUCAUUUAAAGAAAGCGUAAUAGCUCACUGGUCGAGUCGGCCUGCGCGGAAGAUGUAACGGGGCUAAACCAUGCACCGAAGCUGCGGCAGCGACACUAUGUGUUGUUGGGUAGGGGAGCGUUCUGUAAGCCGUUGAAGGUGUGCUGUGAGGCAUGCUGGAGGUAUCAGAAGUGCGAAUGCUGACAUAAGUAACGAUAAAGCGGGUGAAAAGCCCGCUCGCCGGAAGACCAAGGGUUCCUGUCCAACGUUAAUCGGGGCAGGGUGAGUCGACCCCUAAGGCGAGGCCGAAAGGCGUAGUCGAUGGGAAACAGGUUAAUAUUCCUGUACUUGGUGUUACUGCGAAGGGGGGACGGAGAAGGCUAUGUCAGCCGGGCGACGGUUGUCCCGGUUUAAGCAUGUAGGCGGAGGUUCCAGGUAAAUCCGGUACCUUUUAACGCUGAGGUGUGAUGACGAGGCACUACGGUGCUGAAGUGAUAAAUGCCCUGCUUCCAGGAAAAGCCUCUAAGCAUCAGGUAACACGAAAUCGUACCCCAAACCGACACAGGUGGUCAGGUAGAGAAUACCAAGGCGCUUGAGAGAACUCGGGUGAAGGAACUAGGCAAAAUGGUGCCGUAACUUCGGGAGAAGGCACGCUGAUGUGUAGGUGAAGCCCCUGCGGGCGGAGCUGAAAUCAGUCGAAGAUACCAGCUGGCUGCAACUGUUUAUUAAAAACACAGCACUGUGCAAACACGAAAGUGGACGUAUACGGUGUGACGCCUGCCCGGUGCCGGAAGGUUAAUUGAUGGGGUUAGCUGUAAGGCGAAGCUCUUGAUCGAAGCCCCGGUAAACGGCGGCCGUAACUAUAACGGUCCUAAGGUAGCGAAAUUCCUUGUCGGGUAAGUUCCGACCUGCACGAAUGGCGUAAUGAUGGCCAGGCUGUCUCCACCCGAGACUCAGUGAAAUUGAACUCGCUGUGAAGAUGCAGUGUACCCGCGGCAAGACGGAAAGACCCCGUGAACCUUUACUAUAGCUUGACACUGAACACUGGUCCUUGAUGUGUAGGAUAGGUGGGAGGCUUUGAAGCGUGGACGCCAGUCUGCGUGGAGCCAACCUUGAAAUACCACCCUUUAAUGGCUGGUGUUCUAACGUAGACCCGUAAUCCGGGUUGCGGACAGUGUCUGGUGGGUAGUUUGACUGGGGCGGUCUCCUCCCAAAGAGUAACGGAGGAGCACGAAGGUUGGCUAAUCCUGGUCGGACAUCAGGAGGUUAGUGCAAUGGCAUAAGCCAGCUUGACUGCGAGCGUGACGGCGCGAGCAGGUGCGAAAGCAGGUCAUAGUGAUCCGGUGGUUCUGAAUGGAAGGGCCAUCGCUCAACGGAUAAAAGGUACUCCGGGGAUAACAGGCUGAUACCGCCCAAGAGUUCAUAUCGACGGCGGUGUUUGGCACCUCGAUGUCGGCUCAUCACAUCCUGGGGCUGAAGUAGGUCCCAAGGGUAUGGCUGUUCGCCAUUUAAAGUGGUACGCGAGCUGGGUUUAGAACGUCGUGAGACAGUUCGGUCCCUAUCUGCCGUGGGCGCUGGAGAAUUGAGGGGGGCUGCUCCUAGUACGAGAGGACCGGAGUGGACGCAUCACUGGUGUUCGGGUUGUCAUGCCAAUGGCACUGCCCGGUAGCUAAAUGCGGAAGAGAUAAGUGCUGAAAGCAUCUAAGCACGAAACUUGCCCCGAGAUGAGUUCUCCCUGAGACUUUAAGUCUCCUGAAGGAACGUUAAAGACGAUGACGUUGAUAGGUCGGGUGUGUAAGCGCAGCGAUGCGUUGAGCUAACCGAUACUAAUGAACCGUGAGGCUUAACCUU